CAAGGGACACUCACCAAUAAAGGAAGACAAGUCUAUUCCUUCUUUCUCUCUUAGUCAUUACCACAACAACACACAAUGUCUUCUCUCUCUUUUCACGCAUGAAAACAGAACAAAGAAACUCUCUUCUAUUCCUCACGCAAACAACAACACCCACCCCCUUUAUCCUUCAUUUUAGUAAUUCAAGAAACAAGACAAGUUAUUCAAGCUCUCUCUCUCUUCCACCCCUCACUCCACGCCUCUGUCAAAUACCCAGAAAAUCCAUCUUCAAUUUCUUAUGGGUUAGUGCUUGCAUGUAACAAUCCUGAGUCUUGAAUCUUGUUACAAGACCAUCAGUUCUGGAUGUGAGCAAAUUAAGGUAAGAAUCACUAGUUUUCCCUCUCAAAUGAUUGCUCUUUCCCUUUUAGUCGUUUGGAAAUCUCAUGAGAUUCAUUGCUCCUACUCUUACUAUUUGUAUGUGAGUUUCUAUGGUGUAAAGAGGACAUUGGGAAAUUGUGGUGGAGCUGGAACAAAAUCAAAAGGGGUUGAAUUUGAAAUUAAUUAAGGAGCUUGAAGGAAUCUAAGAAAAGGGCAAAAACUUAAAUUAAUAGAAGCAACUGAGUUGGAGCAUAACUAAAAGAUUGUCAUCAUCUUAUAUUUUGGGGAACUGAGGUAAGGUUCAAGAUUUGGUUUUCUCUCCUUUCUUCCUCUGUCCAGCAAGCUCUAAGCCUUAAUUCCAUCUCUUAAUUUUUGUAUUGUUGUACGUGGUGUUUUGAGGAAAUGCAAACUCGUGGGUUUGAGGGAGAUCAAGUUCAUAACCUUUCAAUUAACCAUUCAGGAAAAAUAAGAAAGAGCUUUCAAAGUUUUGGAGUUUAAAGAAUUGUGUUGGUGAUUUUAGAGAAACUUAUGUUGAAACCCGUAUUCCUGGAUAUACCCCUCACUAAAAAGGUAACUGCUCUUUCUCUGUAACUCCGAUUGAGAUUCCGUCUGUUUCUAUGGAAAGCUGACGUUUUUCCCGUCGUUUCGGCACCUGAUUUGUAAAUUAUGGAUUUGGGAUGAGCUCUAUGGACGUGUUUGAAGUUGGAGUUCUGAAGCUGAUUAUGCAGAAAAAUCAGUCAUGGAAGUUGCGUAUUUGAGCGACACCAACGGAUGCUUAAGAGUGUGUGGAAUAACUCGGAAUUGCUAGACAUCGCAGGUAAACAGGUUAACCGGAGCAAGGACCAGGUAGGAACUGAUGAUCGAGGUUGAGCUUGGAUUAUCGGAUUAGAAGACUAUCGACUUCUUCUUUGUUAUUAUGUUAAUCUAUUAAGUUAGAAUUUAAUUCUCUUCCGCUGUAUUGUAACAUAUUAUCACGUUAUUCAUGUGAUAUCUUGUAAGUCAAUUAAUUUAUUCUGUAAUUUUAAUGUACUCAGAUUCAAUUAUUAAUAUCUCGACUAAAUAUUCUAGACAAUUUAGUUGGAGUGUUACAAUUGGUAUCAGAGCAGGUCGAUCUAGUAUCAGACCUUGCCAUGAGUCAUUAGAAUUCAUUCCUAAGUAGUACAGACCCUUUGGAGUCUGGACUGUUUACGCUGAAAUCAUCGCGUGCUGAGCCCGUACAACUCAGUAUCGUGCGUGAUAUGCAGGGUAUUACGGUUGAGAACCGAAGUGGACCAAAGAGGUCGAGUAGUAAGAACGGAGUAGAAGUGCAAACUCGGACGAAACUAUAAGAACCAAGAUCUUUGGAAUCUAAUGGUGGAACUGCAGCAAUCAACGCCGCUUGAGUAAGUACCGUAGCACCAACAAGUGGCGCGUAGAAUUUUGAAACCGUACGUGUUUUCGUGCCAGUAGUAAGAGGCAUGUCAGGAGACGAAAGAACCAUACACGAUCAACUGACGGUAACAUGUAUAAGGAUAUGGAAAAUUCUGGGAAUGGAAAACUCAGUAUCAACGUAAACGUUGACCGAAAGAGAAUCGAGACUGAGUAUAGUAAGAUACCCCGAUGUUAGUCGUAAAUCCGGAUUAGUAAUGAGGCAAAUAGAUGGAUGAGAAAAUCUCUCAAAGUAGUAAAUCACGAGCGGCGUAUACCGAAGGUAGAAUUGUUACACGGAGGGAUGUAGAUAAACCAUUAUACCGAAGUGUGUAGUACAUAAUAGUAUCCAGCUGACACUAUGUAUCAGGUAAACUUUUCCGAACCUAGAAGUAACCACACUCUCUUGUGAACCUACUUACCAGAAGCAUGUUGAACCAAGUAAAACCUAGCAGUCAGUAGACCGAAACUCUUCCUAAAUACGUAUCCGUCCAUUGCAGCCAAGAAAUUCAUCCAAUAUUGUUAGAGCAAUAAAAAAAAAAAAAAACCAAUCACCUAUACUAGAAAAUUCAAAUUAAGCCACAUAUACAUAUCAUUAUUUUUCGGAUACCAUCUUGUUAGAUUACCCUAUAAAAUGUCAACAUUAACUGUCCUCAAUAAAAAGAAUUCAACCUCUCAAUUCGUAACCCGUAAUCAUACCACACCUUUAGAAGCCUAACCUUAUUUAGUGUUGUGAAUUCGUCUAUAAAAUCACACCAAUAAAAGAACUUGAUGUGUGGAGCAAUAGAACGGCAACCAAUGAUUAAGCGGAAUAAGCAAUAAUAAUUAAAACCGAUAAACAAGAUAAAGGAGAAGAAAGAACACGAUAUUUGUUUACCCAGUUCGGUCCAAUAAUGACCUAGUCUUGGGGAGAGAGCAGCCCCUCCGUUCCACUAUAUCAAACGAGUAACUUUACAAAGAGUUCCAAUUGAGUUACAAGAAUUAAUCCUAAUUCUACCCAAAUCCCGAAUCUCUUCCCGUGGCCAAGAGACUCAAUUUGAUAAGUGUUUCCCAAGGUGUACCACAAAGAUAGUUCUCCCACCCUAGAGUUGUACCAAGAGAAAAAACUUUUUUCCUCUCUAAAACCCUAGCCCUUGUGUGGUGGCAAACCCUAAUUGAAAACCCUACAUUGUUGCUCCCUUUCUCUCUCUCUCUCUCCUCUCUCUCUCUCUCUCUCUCUCUCUCUCUCUCUCUCUCUCUCUCUCUCUCUCUCUCUCUCUCUCUCUCUCUCUCUCUCUCUCUCUCUCUCUCUCUCUCUUUUUCUAUGAAUAAAGUGAUCCCUAUUUAUAGAAAAAUAUAUGCCAAAAAACUAGUAACAAAUCUAUUUUAAAAUAAAACAAAUCAAAGUCAGAAUACCCUCAAAGAAAAGAUUUUUCCCAAAAAUACAGCAAAACAACACAUGCUGUCAAAACGCGCUGCGCCUGGGCGUGAGAAGGCAGAAUUGAUCCCAGUUCUGCACGCCUGGGCGUGAGCAGGCAGAACUCCCAAAACCAUGAUUUUCUGACUUCUUGUUACCGAGAUUUCAAGGCAUAUCCAACAUUUAGUAUAACAAUCAUAAAUUCUCUCUUAACAAUACCCGUUAAACUAACUGUCAUCAUUCAAUUGUUCUUAAACUAGUAACUCAGUUAAGUACUAGUCUCAGUCAGUCACCAAACCAUUUCAUGUAUCGAAUCUAUCAACUAAUGACUCAACAAAUCAAUUAAUCCCUCGAUAUCGGUAAGUUAAACUUGAUAUUGUGGAACGUCACUCUUAAGUAACCAUAUCAAAUGUUUUCAGCCUUUAAGUUAUGUUGAUAGUAACUAAUUUAGACCAAAGAAACCAAUUACUCAUGAGAAGUCACGAGUAAUUUUAGUUCAAAUUCUCACUCAUCCUGUUAAUCUGUUGAUCAUCGUCAUUAAACUGUUCUAAAACGAAUGACGUAGCUCAAUGCUAGUUCUAGUAAGAUAUUUAAACCUUGAAGCACUCGAAUGUCAGAAUCAUUCAUCCAACCGAAUUAGUUAACCUCCAUGUAGGGUCUUAUCAACUAAUACCGAAUAAAGUUCAGAUUCACUCAAUUCAGUGAAAUUCAGAAAUAGUAAUGAGAUCAAUAUUAGUAUAGUGUGAUCCCUUUAGUUUCAUUCUCUAUAACCAUGUCAGUUCAGUGUAAACUCUGAGUAUCUCUGCCAAAAUGAUUCAGCUCUCUAGUUUAUUACCGAAAAUCAGUUCAAGUCAGCAUAGGUUGUAGUUACUUGUGUAAAGUAAUGAAAUGCCCUCACUCGUGACUAGCUAGCCAGAUUCAGAAUCCGACUAUGUUUGUCAAAUUUCCAUCGCAUUAGCUUACCAGUUACAAUUUCAAACAAGUCUAACCCCUACCCUUAAGAGAAAAUUCGAACUCAAGCUCAUCUACACGUCAAAUGUACAACUAGAUCCUUUGUAUUGUGCUAGGAUGGAUUGGAAUGGUAGGUGGAAAGUUUCCCAAAGAACUAUGAGUCCAUUUGAAGAGGAGUUUAACUUAUUGGCAAAAUGAUUUGUUGUAUUUAGGCACUCUUCCACUCGUUUUAUAUUUCAAUCGAUUCUGGAGUAUUUAAACAACGCAUGUGCUAUUUAGUGGUACAUAUGAUAUGUAGGCGCUUGUAGUGUUCGAAGAUUAGAAUAGCCAUGAGAAUGAAAACUUUUGGAUUUGUUAGUAUUAAUACCCAAGCUUAUACUCUCCAGAUAACCUUAUAACAUUAUUCAAUGUCCCGUGUUACAGAGUAUAACCCACCAUGCCAGAUACCGACCUACUAAAUUAGUUGAGAAACCAAAGUUAUUGCCGGAAGCAAUAGAAAGAGAUUAACCGUAGCAGAGAUCGGUAGAAUAAGAAGUUAAGCAGAACCAACUCCCGAAUAGCAUCAGUAGAGUAAGUCAUAGUGGAUGUUGAAUCAAAUAAGUUAUUACAAGUGAAUUACAACAUGAAAAAGGAACGUAGAGAAAUAUGUGACACGGUGAGGAGACUAGGAGUAUGAGACGACUGCAAGUGGUAUGUAUAGAUGUGUCGUGUGACCGUAAGAUAUGGUAAAGUGUUAAAUACAGUGGUGUGUCUGACGUCACGAAGUGGAACAAGUGUUAACUUGUGGCGUCCAUUGAUAGAAAGAGUAAUAACAGCUGGAGUAAUGCCGAAUAAGAUAAGAUGAUGUGUGACAGUGUCAGAGGGAUCAUUGAACAAGACUGUAAUGACACAAUUAGAAGAAUGACAGUAAGUAGUCGAAAUCAGAGUGCGCAACAAGUGUCAGAGAGAGGAAUAUUUUAUUCCAAGGAACUGGACAUAAUUGACCGUGAGAUGAAUGACGAGUAAGUACGCAUAUGUUCACACUUAAACGUUGGAUUAAUAGUAGCAAAAAUUGAGAAGUUUAACACCGUAAACUAGUAAGGAAUAGUAUGCUCCGAAGUUAAUAUGAAGAAGUCUCUGAAUUUCGAGGGCGAAAUUCUUUUAAGGGUGGUAAAUUGUAACAUCCCACUCUAAUUAUUAGAAUUAAUAAUAAUUAAUAGUGUAUGAGAGUAGUAAAUGGAAGUUUGUCUAUGAUUCAAACACCACACAUGGAGGGACCACACUUUAGUAACCCAAGAAAUUGAAAGAAACAAAAUUUAUUGAAACUUCCCUUAAUUUCCCUUAUCCCUCCACGUGAAGUAGAAGCAAAACAAGGGUCAAGGGACCCACUCACCUAUAAAGGAAGACAAGUCUAUUCCUUCUUUCUCUCUUAGUCAUUACCACAACAACACACAAUGUCUUCUCUCUCUUUUCACGCAUGAAAACAGAACAAAGAAACUCUCUUCUAUUCCUCACGCAAACAACAACACCCACCCCCUUUAUCCUUCAUUUUAGUAAUUCAAGAAACAAGACAAGUUAUUCAAGCUCUCUCUCUCUUCCACCCCUCACUCCACGCCUCUGUCAAAUACCCAGAAAAUCCAUCUUCAAUUUCUUAUGGGUUAGUGCUUGCAUUUAACAAUCCUGAGUCUUGAAUCUUGUUACAAGACCAUCAGUUCUGGAUGUGAGCAAAUAAAGGUAAGAAUCACUAGUUUUCCCUCUCAAAUGAUUGCUCUUUCCCUUUUAGUCGUUUGGAAAUCUCAUGAGAUUCAUUGCUCCUACUUUUACUAUUUGUAUGUGAGUUUCUAUGGUGUAAAGAGGACAUUGGGAAAUUGUGGUGGAGCUGGAACAAAAUCAAAAGGGGUUGAAAUUAAUUAAGGAGCUUGAAGGAAUCUAAGAAAAGGGCAAAAACUUGAAUUAAUAGAAGCAACUGAGUUGGAGCAUAACUAAAAGAUUGUCAUCAUCUUAUAUUUUGGGGAACUGAGGAAAAAUAAGAAAGAGCUUUCAAAGUUUUGGAGUUUAAAGAAUUGGGUUGGUGAUUUUAGAGAACUUAUGUUGAAAUCCGUAUUCCUGGAUAUACCCUCACUAAAAAGGGAUGAGCUCUAUGGACGUGUUUGAAGUUGGAGUUAUGAAGCUGAUUAUGCAGAAAAAUCAGUCAUGGAAGUUGCGUAUUUGAGCGACACCAACGGAUGCUUAAGAGUGUGUGGAACAACUCGGAAUUGCUAGACAUCGCAGGUAAACAGGUUAACCGGAGCAAGGACCAGGUAGGAACUGAUGAUCGAGGUUGAGCUUGGAUUAUCGGAUUAGAAGACUAUCGUCUUCUUCUUUGUUAUUAUGUUAAUCUAUUAAGUUAGAAUUUAAUUCUCUUCCGCUGUAUUGUAACAUAUUAUCACGUUAUUCAUGUGAUAUCUUGUAAGUCAAUUAAUUUAUUCUGUAAUUUUAAUGUACUCAGAUUCAAUUAUUAA